rnacentral:rRNA from 1 species
UACGAAGGGGGCUAGCGUUGUUCGGAAUUACUGGGCGUAAAGCGCACGUAGGCGGACAUUUAAGUCAGGGGUGAAAUCCCAGAGCUCAACUCUGGAACUGCCUUUGAUACUGGGUGUCUAGAGUCCGGAAGAGGUGAGUGGAAUUCCGAGUGUAGAGGUGAAAUUCGUAGAUAUUCGGAGGAACACCAGUGGCGAAGGCGGCUCACUGGUCCGGUACUGACGCUGAGGUGCGAAAGCGUGGGGAGCAAACAGG